AUUCUAGACUGCUUACUCCAAGUCCUCUGCUGUGUUGCCAAAAGGUUUUCUAAUUCCUCCUGCCCACCCUCUCAAAUGUGGCCAUUUAUAUAUAUUAAAGUCAAGAAGACAGUCAUGGAAAAUCAUGGUGAACAGAUGUUGGCUUAAGGAGAUGGUUGAAUUUAAGAUUUAAAAAAAAAAUCAGAGGAAGAGAGUCUGAAAUGAGGUGGUGGAGCAUCCCUACAGUAAAAAGCCGCAAAGGGAAAGGGAAAUAGGCUGGGAAUGGAGAUGGUAGCCUUAUGCUGAACUAGAAGCUUGAUACCUAUAGAAUAUUUUGGAUAUUAACAAAUCCAAAAUAACUGUUGUGUGCCACUUCAGUCCUCUCAGUGGACUCAGUCCAUUCACACAUAUCAUUAGCAGCAAAGCAGCUGCUUUUUCUCCCAUGAGAGAUGAGGUGUUGCUGAAGUAGGCAUUUGAGAGUACUGAAACCACAAGCCAAUAUUGGAAGUGCAAAGGUGCAUUGGAAUCUCCAGUGUGCUAAAGAGUGGUGGAGCAAAUAUACCCAUAAGCUACCCUCUUUUGCAAGUACAACACACUGGGGUGGGGAAUAUAUGAGAGAAAUACAGCAAAUUGUCAGAGGCAAAUCUCACCAAGUUGAAUGGGACUUACUCCCAAGUAGGUGUCCACUUCCCAGUCAUGUCACCCAUCCUGACACCAAAAUAUAGCUUCUUUGUUUGCUGUAUUGUUAGCUGAGGUGACGUUACUUUGAGGGGAAGAGAAUCGCAGGAGCUGCCAUUUGUUUUUCACACAAAGCCUCUUUCUGAGGUGGUUUUUCAAAUUUUGAGAAACUCAAAAUGGCUGCCUCCUUUGCCACUCACCGGGGACCACCGUUGUAGUGGGCUGCAAAUGAAUGUGUACAGAAAACCACACACCUUUACUGAGUGGGCAGACUGUGCCUCUAAGCACUGCCCUUUUCUUCGAGAGAUGCAAUGUUAAAUAUCCCUCCAAAGAAAAGGCAGAUUGAAUCAGACUUGUGGAAAAUAUAAAAUCACAGUGUGCUGUUCCACAUAACCCUAUUUUUAAACCUGAAGUAUAAAAACAACAAAAAGAACAUUUUACACACAUUUGGAUUUCUUCUCUUUUCAUAGUGGAAUGUCUUGCAAACCCCCUCAAUGUUUUUUUUUUAUUUGACAGCAGAUGCAGAGGCUUAAAAGGCAACCCAUGCCAUUCUUUGGGGUGGAGGAAUGAACAAUGUAAGCAUAUUCAUCAAAAACUUAGGAGACCCACCAAGCUCAAUGGGACAAUCUCAAGUAAACACAUCAAAG